rnacentral:lncRNA from 1 species
GACAUAUUUCUAUUUGAAAUCUUGUGUUUUGAACUUUGAAUUAUUCUAAAAUGCCAAGAAUUUAUACAAAUACUUGUAAUAUGUGGCAAAAAUUACAUUGUCGCUUCUCUUUUGCAGUUAAGUGGGAAAAGGCACAUACUCUUCUCAUUAUGGACGAGCUGCUGAUGCACCUAUACACCGAAGGACCUGAGCAUAAGGAAAGAAGAAAGAAAGGGCUGAAGUGAAGGAAAAAAAGACCAAUUUGCGGAAGAAGAAGAGAAAAGAAGGGCCUGGAUGCAAAAACGAUCCCCUUUGUGCUUGGCACUUCUCCUUCCCCUGACCUCCUUCUCCACCACCGGCCGCCGCCGCGGCCAGGCCAGCGUGGGGGCGCACCUCCGACGAAGUAGCUGCUGCCCCUUCCCGAUCCACUACUACUGCUCCUCCUCGUCUCCAAGCUGCUGCUCCUCCUCGUCCCCUCAAGCUGCUGCAGUAAGUGAAGAACAAGCGCCUCUGGCAAGCACGAGCGCCACUGGAACCCUCUUCCCUUCCUCCACUCCUUGCUGCCCCAUCUCCUGAGUUAAUCCCCAUCUAAAUCUCUCUCCCUUUUCCCCCUGUUGCUUGCUGUUUGUGUGAACUGAAUUGAGAGAACUUGUGCUGAUUUUGAGCACCUGCAACUUGUUUGCUUAAAUGUCAGUGUGAGAUCUUGUUAACUAUUGAGUCUUUUCUCCUGAGAAUUGUGUGUAAUAUGUACUAGUGAUUGUGCUUUAAAUUUCUGUGAUAGUAUACUUGUCUGUGCCCUGUUGUACUCUUUCCCAUACCUAAACAAUUUGCUUCUAUCCUUGUCUUAUUUGUUAGCUCGUGAGAUUACUUGUUGUCCCUGUUAUUUGUCAAUGUAGAUCUGCCCUGUCUUUGAUGUCUGCUUGUGAAGUAAAACAAAAAUACUAAAAAUAUUGCACUAUUUGUUACAAAUUCCAGAAUCAAAUCUUGUG